ensembl:ncRNA C18C4.13 ncRNA
CGUCGGUGUGAAAGAUUAUGAUCUCGAACCUCAAGUUUUUCCUCAUUCGCGCGCGCUAUCCUUGCCCUAUUUCCAUGGACUAGUAAUUAAAU